rnacentral:lncRNA from 13 species
AUGGCUUUUCCACUCCUGGACAGAAACUUUAGAAAGUGCCAGAAAUGUUUUCAUCUUCUUGGCUCAGCAGGAGGGAGGAGAGCAGAGAUUAGUCGCAGUGGGCACCACCUGCUGUGGGAGCCUCCCAGACCUCCAGGCAGAGACCUUUGGCAAGACCUCAUAAACCACGAAAUCCAGGUAGCCUUUACCAAGCCUGUCAGGACGCGGCAGGGACCCAGAGCUCUGGAAAGGUCUCGGCCAGGCCCUGCAGCACAGAGACUCCUGUGGAUACCCCCCUUCCCCUCAUGGUUCCACUUCCUUCAGACUUCUUUGCUGAACUCCCUGGUGGCCAACUGGGUGCUCAUUACUAAGUGCUCAGAGUGAUAGUAAUUGAUGCCUUCCCGUGUGAAUCCUAGAAAUGAACCUGCCUCUCGACAGAACAACAGUGAAAAUGGAUACUCUCCACUCCUGUCACGUGCUCCUUUGUUCUUGACAAAUGGUUUUGAUGCAGAGAGCUCAUUACCAUGAGAGCCGAUCCUGAAGAACCUUGUGCCCACUGUCUAGCUGCAGGGCCCAAGGCCCAGGGGGAGGCAGUCAUUUGCCCCAGCUGGCACAGCUGCUUCGGCAGAAGCAAGGCUGGGACAAGGAAGUGCAGCCAGGCAGACAAGGGCUCCAGGCUCCGCUGGGCCUCCCACAUGUCACAUAUCUCUGCUUUGUCAUCUCUAAAAUGGGCAUUGAGAGGAUUCAGAGCUUCUAACACAGGACCUGGCCCAUAGGAAAUGCUCAAAGUAUGCUGCCUCCUUCCCUGCAUCUCCUCCCCAAGCCAGCCUAGGCCUUCUGGUGUCUGCGAGCACUGAGUCUGGAGUCCAGGCCUUGGGACGCAGGAACUCAGAAACUCGAGAUGGAGGAGGGAAGGUGAGAAUUCCUUGAUUCUCGGGAAAACGAGAUGAGAGUUCUGUCUUACAGAAACAAACAAACAAACACAAAAACCCCCCAACAGCCAACUUAUUAAAUGGCUUCCAACAUCAAAGAGUGCUCACCAAAUCCCCAAGGGUGAUUUCAGAGCAGGCAAGAUCAGGCACACAUGGAACUCAUUUCCCCAACUGAAGGGAGAGGGGCAGGGGCAAGUGGGCAAGUUAAUCCCCAAACAAACUCAUCCCUUCUCAAAAGACCCCUUAGGAGUGGGGAGCUGGCACAAAAACUUUGAAGUGGUGGUUGUAGGAAAAAUGUUCUGCCUGGGGACUGCUGUGCCCACAGAGGCCCAGGUGCCUGUGUGUGUGUGUGUGUGUGUGUGUGUGUGUGUGUGUGAGAGAGAGAGAGAGAGAGAGAAGAGGUAUGUAAGGAUGUGAUGAUGUGUGUAGAACUGGCUUUGGGAGAUGCCGCU